rnacentral:lncRNA from 1 species
CGCAGGGAUGUGUAGGUGCUUGUUUGCUGGAACAUUAACUAUAAUAACAUAAUAACAUAACAAUAUGUCAGGGCUGUGGGGUUUGCAGCUUGUUGUGGAGCUCCUCACCAUCCCAAAAUAGGCGACUGAAGGUGAAUGAAUGAAUAAAUAAAAUGCUUUAAUGAAACAAUCAUAUCCGCCCGCUCCUCAACACCCUCUUCACUUUUUUCAUGCAGGAUCGUUCACGAUCUGUGGAGCGAGCUCGGAUCACAUUCCUGCCAGUGUCGUCCGAGAGAUGUGCAACGUCUGCAAAACCAGCAAUUGGGCUACGGUUUCAAGAACAAUGGGACAAGAACUGGGCCGACGCGACUGUAUCCUCAUUCAUCCUCAUCCCGUUCAUGGUGAUUUACUGGAGCUGAGUUGAGGUCAUUUAACCACUAGUUCAUCCAAGUGUCUCAUAGGUAAUUUAUGAAUUACAGUUCUGGUGUUCACUUUGUGGUUAUUACUGGUUCAAAUAAAUCGAGAACCAAAGUACAAAUGGCUGUCAACAUCUCCUAAAAAAGGGGAAAGAAAUCUGUCCAAAUGCUAACAAUGAAAGUUGUUUCCCAGUCGGGGCAGCUCAGGGUAAACGGGUCCUCAGCAUGGCGACUGCUGGUCUGCAGUUUGUCCAAUCACCCAGAUAUUGUGCUGAUUGUUUGUCAGCCUCACUGUGCUGUUCCGCUCACCCUAAAACCACAAUCAGUUUAUUUUUUCUUAAAUCUGUAUUUGUCCGUGUACAGGUGAAAUGGAGACAAUGCUGUUGAUUGGUGAGCCUACACUUUGCCCCCAGCUUGUAUGACAUCAAUUUUCCCAUCUACCUCUGGGUAAGUCCAUUCAUCCAUUAUCAACACCUCUUUUUCUUUUGAGGGUGGCACGGGGGCUGGCCAUGGGUGAAAAUGUGAGGUAUAUCGUGAACAGGUCGCCAGUCUAUCUCAACCAAACAGCCGCUCACAUUCACCUGUGGAGGUGAGUUUAAAAUAAGUACUCCAAAAGAAAGCCACCUUUCGCACUGACCAC